rnacentral:lncRNA from 1 species
AAAAGAUUAGAACUUUGAAUUUCCAGAUCUGAAAUAAAAUCCCCAAAUCAGCAAAGAAUCAAAUUGAGAAUAGAAAUAAGUGUUAGGGUUCUUGAAACCCUCAAGGAGAUUGUGAUUCUGCCCAAUUGAACACCAAGAUAGUUUUCUCCAAAUUUCGACAAUCUAAUUUCACCCAAAAAGAGUAUGGAAAAACCCUAGAAAUUGGGGAUUUUUUGGGCUGAUUCCUUAAGAUAGAAAAAAGGCUGAAAACACAAUAAGAACAGAAAAUAGAUUAGAUAAUGAUUCAGCACAAGUAGAAAUAAAGAAAGAAUUGACAGUAAGAAAUUAAAAGAUAAGUCCUAAGGAGCCUUGAAAUCUCGAAAGAUCUCACAACUCCCUUCAAACGGCUCUAAUCUCCCCUCCAAAGAAUA